CAGGGAUUGCCCUAGUAACGGCGAGUGAAGCGGCAACAGCUCAAAUUUGAAAUCUGGCCCUCGGGUCCGAGUUGUAAUUUGUAGAGGAUGCUUUUGGUGCGGUACCUUCCGAGUUCCCUGGAACGGGACGCCAUAGAGGGUGAGAGCCCCGUCUGGUUGGAUGCCAAUCCUCUGUAAAGCUCCUUCGACGAGUCGAGUAGUUUGGGAAUGCUGCUCUAAAUGGGAGGUAUAUGUCUUCUAAAGCUAAAUAUUGGCCAGAGACCGAUAGCGCACAAGUAGAGUGAUCGAAAGAUGAAAAGCACUUUGAAAAGAGAGUUAAAAAGCACGUGAAAUUGUUGAAAGGGAAGCGCUUAUGACCAGACUUGGGCUUGGUUGAUCAUCCGGCGUUCUCGCCGGUGCACUCUUCCGGCUCAGGCCAGCAUCAGUUUGCUUCGGGGGAUAAAGGCUUUGGGAAUGUGGCUCCCUCGGGAGUGUUAUAGCCCACUGUGUAAUACCCUGGAGCGGACUGAGGUACGCGUUCUGCAAGGAUGCUGGCGUAAUGGUCAUCAGUGACCCGUCUUGAAACACGGACCAAGGAGUCGUCUUCGUAUGCGAGUGUUCGGGUGUCAAACCCCUACGCGUAAUGAAAGUGAACGCAGGUGAGAGCUUCGGCGCAUCAUCGACCGAUCCUGAUGUUCUCGGAUGGAUUUGAGUAAGAGCAUACGGGGCCGGACCCGAAAGAAGGUGAACUAUGCCUGUGUAGGGUGAAGCCAGAGGAAACUCUGGUGGAGGCUCGCAGCGGUUCUGACGUGCAAAUCGAUCGUCAAACAUGGGCAUGGGGGCGAAAGA
rnacentral:rRNA from 1 species